rnacentral:rRNA from 1 species
CGGUCCCAACAGAYGCGCUCUGUACUCAAACCUUUCUAAGAGUAGAAUAGGUCGGUCGAUGAUGCGCCUCGCACGCGUAGAACGAAGAUCUCACCUCAGCUGCUAGGCAGCCUUUACUUUCAUUGUGCCUUCGGGUUUCAGUCACCCCAAGACUUGCGCACAUGUUAGACUCCUUGGUCCGUGUUUCAAGACGGGUCAGAUGAAGCCAUAUGGCCGCCAACAACCGAGGUGCAUAGUGUGCGUUGGCCUCCCGAAUGACCUCGAGCAGUUCAGACGCACUGCAAGCAGUCCGCCAUGGUCGACACAAGAUCAAGAGAAGGUCGCCAGCCCCUCCGAAGAAGAGCAUGCACCGCUCGCCUCUGCCCCGUCCGAGCUAGUAUCGCCACAGGCUAUAACAGCACAUGCCGAAGCACGCGCCUACCUUCCUGGACGCCUUGUCACUCAGACAGAGCAGCUGUUGACGCGCCCCAACGAGAAGUGCGAUGAUCACAAGGUCAGGCCGAGCAGCGACAGUCCAUGCGGAUCCAUACACUACACGUCUGACCAGGCGUCCACCUGAAUCUCGCUGAGGCAUUGCUAACUGCAUCCGUUUCCCCUCUAACGGUUUCACGCACUUUUUAACUCUCUUUUCAAAGUUCUUUUCAACUUUCCC